rnacentral:rRNA from 2 species
UACGAAGGGGGCAAGCGUUGUUCGGAAUCACUGGGCGUAAAGGGCGCGUAGGCGGACAUUUAAGUCAGGGGUGAAAUCCCGGGGCUCAACCCCGGAACUGCCCUUGAUACUGGGUGUCUUGAGACCGGAAGAGGCAAGUGGAACUGCGAGUGUAGAGGUGAAAUUCGUAGAUAUUCGCAAGAACACCAGUGGCGAAGGCGGCUUGCUGGUCCGGAUCUGACGCUGAGGCGCGAAAGCGUGGGGAGCAAACAGG